rnacentral:lncRNA from 1 species
AGCAGGAUUAUCACCAACACCAGACCGGGUGAGCAAGCCUCAGAAAUCUCCAAGGCCAGCGAUCGCACAGCCUGUCUGGCGACCUGGGGCAGGCUGCACGACCCUCCUGGUGAGGACGAAGGUCAAAACCUUCCAAGCCCAACCAUUUGCGCCCCCUGCCCUUUGGUGUAUCAUCUGACUCUAGCGAGCGGAGCGCGCCCCCGCGCCCCUCCUCUGGCCGUCCCCUCAGGGCGGCCGCAGCCAGCCCGGCAGGCGGGCCCGCGGCGGCGAAUGCGCGGCUUCAGCGGCCGUCCCCCUGCAGGCGGAGGCGGAGGCUGGCUCCGGCCAUGGCGGGCGGCAGCUCGGCGAGGCGGCUGUGGCAGCUCUGCAACCUGCUUAUGGCCGCCUUCUUCGGGCUGGCGGCUGCCGUGCAGGUGAACGACCCGGACGCCGGGCUGUGGGUGGUCUCCAUCAUCUCCUGUGCUUGCCUUAGCUCACCGUCUGUCACCACUGACCUCAGCAGGGACCCUUGAGUCUCAGAAGAGACCUAAAGAAAACUCACAUCUCUCUGCCCACGCCCGUCAUUCUCAGGCACGGGAACAGCCACCAGUGGCCCUGGAUCAGUGUGAGCAGGGCUUUGAGCUGCAGGGGCCCGGGGGGUCUCUCUGUACAUGUCAGGAGCUGCUGGGUGGGUGGGGAUCGUACCUGUCCUCUCCA